GAUGCAACGGGAAGAACCUUACCUGGCCUUGACAUCCAGAGAACUUUCCAGAGAUGGUUUGGUGCCUUCGGGAACUGUGAGACAGGUGCUGCAUGGCUGUCGUCAGCUCGUGUUGUGAAAUGUUGGGUUAAGUCCCGCAACGAGCGCAACCCUUAUCCUUUGUUGCCAGCGGUUCGGCCGGGAACUCAAAGGAGACUGCCAGUGAUAAACCGGAGGAAGGUGGGGAUGACGUCAAGUCAUCAUGGCCCUUACGACCAGGGCUACACACGUGCUACAAUGGCAGAUACAAAGAGAAGCGACCUCGCGAGGGCAAGCGGACCUCAUAAAGUACGUCGUAGUCCGGAUUGGAGUCUGCAACUCGACUCCAUGAAGUCGGAAUCGC
rnacentral:rRNA from 1 species